rfam:Sorghum bicolor cultivar BTx623 chromosome 2, whole genome shotgun sequence.
GUUGUCGUAUUCACUUCAAUCUAUAUAUGUUGGUGUAGAUUGGAGUGGAAUUUAGUUCAAGUUCCACUUCAAUUCACCUCAACACACGUGGAUUGGUGUGAAUCCGACA